AUGUACUACUUGUACACUCCGCUUCUUGCGCUCCGGCGGCCACCGCCAGGCACCCGCUCGCUACGUUUCUGAG
rnacentral:sRNA from 1 species